rnacentral:rRNA from 1 species
CACGUAGGGUGCAAGCGUUGUCCGGAAUCAUUGGGCGUAAAGAGCUCGUAGGCGGCUUAGUAAGUCGGGUGUGAAAACCCCAGGCUCAACCUGGGGACGCCACCCGAUACUGCUAUAGCUAGAGUCCAGUAGGGGAGUGUGGAAUUCCCAGUGUAGCGGUGAAAUGCGCAGAUAUUGGGAGGAACACCAGCGGCGAAGGCGGCUCUCUGGACCACAACUGACGCUGAGGCGCGAAAGCUAGGGGAGCAAACAGG